CGCAGAGAGCUACUGGUGCACGGAUUCAUGCGCAGGGCUACUAGUCACUUUAUAAAAAGAUAGAACUUAUGGAAGCAGUUGGAAGAGGCUGUCCUACAGGAGUGUUUAUAUACAGACUUUGAAAAUUAUUAGAUGCUGUAUAACUCCACAAAUUCAGCACAGUCAUGGCUAAAAAAGAAAAGUAAGCUUUAAUCUCUCUCAACUUCCUUGGAGGCAGACAGACAUUGAAACUAAGAGACUGAAAUUUGAAGUUAUAUCAUCUGAACUCAAGCCUUGGGUUCACUACUGACUAAGAGAGCGUGGGGCAAAAGUGAGGAACGGAAGCUAUUGAACUCCCAAGGAACUACUUCCACAGAAGUGAUUGCUGUUUCAGAGAAGAUGACAACUGACCAAGAUGUUUUCCUGAUAUCCAUUUAAAAAUGUGUAUGGGACAACGCAUCUAUCCAUAAGAGAAUAAAUCUGUAUGGAAAUGUGGUAGAUACUGUCAUCUAACCUCUUUCUGGAGGAAGCCACUUUGUAGAGGAUGGAUGGGCCCCCAAAUCAAC